GAGAAACUGACUCUUAAUUAUAUAAAAGUACCUUGAAUUUUUAAGUUUAAUUAAAAAGCAAAAUGCUCUGCGGACAUGUUCAUGAGAAUAUAAUUUUUUUGUGUAACGAAAUCUACAACACUUGUCAACCAUAUUGCAUGUGUGUCUAAAAAUAACAUGUGGGCGUCCCACGGUCUAGACAGGUUUUGUGUCAGGCCCUAUUUCAAAUUAGGGCCUGAACUUCAGGUUAUAUCAGGUGGGAAAUUUGGUGUCGCUGGUCAGCAAAUUGCGGGCGCUAGCGAAAAUUUUAUUUAAAUUAUUAAACGAGGAAAAACAAGUUUUUGGGCUUCUCGUUUGGGAAGAGUGGA